rfam:Dipodomys ordii contig_32951, whole genome shotgun sequence.
GGGAAUGUGACUCAGUAGUAGAGUGCUUGACUUCCAUGCAUGAAGCCCUGGGUUCAAUUCCUCAAUACCA